rnacentral:rRNA from 1 species
UACGGGGGGGGCAAGCGUUGUUCGGAAUUACUGGGCGUAAAGGGCUCGUAGGCGGCCAACUAAGUCAGACGUGAAAUCCUCGGCUUAACCGGGGAACUGCAUCUGAUACUGGAUGGCUUGAGUUCGGGAGAGGGAUGCGGAAUUCCAGGUGUAGCGGUGAAAUGCGUAGAUAUCUGGAGGAACACCGGUGGCGAAGGCGGCAUCCUGGACCGACACUGACGCUGAGGAGCGAAAGCCAGGGGAGCAAACGGG